rnacentral:tRNA from 1 species
GCGGCCGUAGUCCAGCCUGGUAAGAUUUCAGCCCCCCAAGCUGAAGACCCGGGUUCAAAUCCCGGCGGCCGCACCA